rnacentral:misc_RNA from 1 species
GCUAUUAUUAUUCGCAAAGUAUUUCUUGGUUAAUCGGGGAAAAUAUUUUGACUUUUGUUAGAUCCAUUCCAGCAAUUAUUUAGAGUUAUCAUGUUAAUGGUAAUGAUCAGUUGGGCUAGCGAUGAUCCAAAUGAGGCUAUGACCUUCAUUGCACAGCCUUGUUAAUGUGCAAGCGCCAUUGUAUGGCCCUUAAGACACUUAGAUGGGUUGAAAAUGGUGAUGGCCAUCCACUCAAUGAAUGAAUUUGCUGCUCAUCUUUUCUUCUAUCUACAUAUCUGACUAGGG